GCCGGGGUGGCGGAAUUGGCAGACGCGCUAGCUUGAGGGGCUAGUGGGAAAUUUUCCCGUACGAGUUCAAGUCUCGUCCUCGGCACCA
rnacentral:tRNA from 1 species